UGCAGCGCGUGAGCGUCAGUUGAAAUUCGCCAAGCGUUUCUCUGUAAAACUACGGCUCCGGGAUUUCCGCAACAUUUUUCUCAAUAACGGACAUAAAGCUGUUAUGGAGAGCGGUUAUCACUGGGAAUUAUUAAAACUUUAUCGUCAUAAAACUUAAUGUACUUGAUGAAAGGCGAUCGUAUUUACAUCCAAACGGAAAUGAGUCCACACUGAACUGAGCCGAAAGUAUAUCGAUAAACUACUCAAGUCAAGCGAAUUCAGUCAGAUUUACCAAAUAAAGUGCUGUUUGUCUGCCUGUCACUGCAUGUGGAACAGACAGACGUUCGUCAAUGGAAAUUACCUCAAUGUCUAUUUCAUCUUCUGAAGACAGGGUGUUCUCCUCUUCAGAAUCUAAAAGGCAACAGCUGAAGUUUUCAGAUCCCUCUGUUUCUGCGUCUGUCACUCUCUGUUUGACAGUGCACUCGGGAAGAAGAACUGAAACUGACUUCAGUGUACAGCUAUGCUUAU